rnacentral:misc_RNA from 1 species
GAUGAAGAACGCAGUGAAAGGCGAUACGUAAUGUGAAUUGCAGAAUUCAGUGAAUCAUCGAGUCUUUGAACGCACAUUGCGCCCCCUGGUAUUCCGGGGGGCAUGCCUGUCCGAGCGUCAUUGCUGCCCUCAAGCACGGCUUGUGUGUUGGGCCCCGUCCUCCGAUCCCGGGGGACGGGCCCGAAAGGCAGCGGCGGCACCGCGUCCGGUCCUCGAGCGUAUGGGGCUUUGUCACCCGCUCUGUAGGCCCGGCCGGCGCUUGCCGAUCAACCCAAAUUUUUAUCCAGGUUGACCUCGGAUCAGGUAGGGAUACCCGCUGAACUUAAGCAUAUCAAUAAGCGGAGGA